rnacentral:rRNA from 1 species
UACGUAGGGUGCAAGCGUUAAUCGGAAUUACUGGGCGUAAAGCGUGCGCAGGCGGUUAUGUAAGACAGGUGUGAAAUCCCCGGGCUUAACCUGGGAACUGCAUUUGUGACUGCAUAGCUAGAGUACGGUAGAGGGGGAUGGAAUUCCGCGUGUAGCAGUGAAAUGCGUAGAUAUGCGGAGGAACACCGAUGGCGAAGGCAAUCCCCUGGACCUGUACUGACGCUCAUGCACGAAAGCAUGGGGAGCAAACAGG